UACGUAGGGUGCGAGCGUUGUCCGGAAUUAUUGGGCGUAAAGAGCUUGUAGGCGGUUUGUCGCGUCUGCUGUGAAAAUCCGGGGCUCAACCCCGGACUUGCAGUGGGUACGGGCAGACUAGAGUGUGGUAGGGGAGACUGGAAUUCCUGGUGUAGCGGUGGAAUGCGCAGAUAUCAGGAGGAACACCGAUGGCGAAGGCAGGGUCUCUAGGCCACUACUGACGCUGAGAAGCGAAAGCAUGGGGAGCGAACAGG
rnacentral:rRNA from 1 species